GGAGAGUCAUGCGUGCCUGGUGGCCGCCGCGGUCUUCAAAACCGUUGAAGCUUCUAACGGGGCUUGGUGGGUUCGAUUCCUUCCCUCUCCGCCA
rnacentral:tRNA from 1 species